AUGAACGCUGGCGGCGUGCCUAAUACAUGCAAGUCGAGCGAACGGACGAGAAGCUUGCUUCUCUGAUGUUAGCGGCGGACGGGUGAGUAACACGUGGAUAACCUACCUAUAAGACUGGGAUAACUUCGGGAAACCGGAGCUAAUACCGGAUAAUAUUUUGAACCGCAUGGUUCAAAAGUGAAAGACGGUCUUGCUGUCACUUAUAGAUGGAUCCGCGCUGCAUUAGCUAGUUGGUAAGGUAACGGCUUACCAAGGCAACGAUGCAUAGCCGACCUGAGAGGGUGAUCGGCCACACUGAAACUGAGACACGGUCCAGACUCCUACGGGAGGCAGCAGUGGGGAAUCUUCCGCAAGGGGCGAAAGCCUGACGGAGCAACGCCGCGUGAGUGAUGAAGGUCUUCGGAUCGUAAAACUCUGUUAUUAGGGAAGAACAUAUGUGUAAGUAACUGUGCACAUCUUGACGGUACCUAAUCAGAAAGCCACGGCUAACUACGU
rnacentral:rRNA from 1 species